CGGUGGAGCAUGUGGUUUAAUUCGACGCAACGCGAAGAACCUUACCUGGGCUAGGAUGCCUCUGACAACCUUAGAGAUAGCCUUGGACCCAGAUCAAGGUGUGACGAGCGCAACCCUUAUCAAUAGUUGCCAGCGGGAUGUCAAGUCUCAUGGCCCUUAUGGGUAGGCUACAUACAUGGCGGAUACAAGGGUUGCCAACCCGCGAGGGGGAGCCUCCCAGAAAGUCCGUCGUAGUCCGGAUUGGAGUGCAACCCGACUCCAUGAAGUCGGAAUCGCUAGUAAUCGGGAUCAGCAUGUCGCGGUGAAUACGUUCCCGGGCCUUGUACACACCGCCGUCACACCAUGGGAGUGGGUUUCACCAGAAGCAGGUUGCCUAACCGCAAGGAGGGCGCCUACCACGUGAGAUUCAUGACUGGGGUGAAGUCGUACAAGGU
rnacentral:rRNA from 1 species